UACGUAGGGUGCGAGCGUUAAUCGGAAUUACUGGGCGUAAAGGGUGCGUAGGCGGUUAUAUAAGUUAGAUGUGAAAUACCUGGGCUUAACCUAGGAGGUGCAUUUAAGACUGUAUAGCUAGAGUUUGUCAGAGGGGGGUAGAAUUCCAAGUGUAGCAGUGAAAUGCGUAGAGAUUUGGAGGAAUACCGAUGGCGAAGGCAGCCCCCUGGGAUAGAACUGACGCUGAAGCACGAAAGCGUGGGUAGCAAACAGG
rnacentral:rRNA from 1 species